AGUGACGUCACCGGGGCCAGCGAUGGGAAGUGGAGCCGUCGGAAGGGGGCCUUCCGCGCGAUGUCUGUAGGGAGAGGCUCGCGCCCAGGACUACUACCAGCCCACAGUGAGCGGGGCCCUCCUACAUCAAUCAUCAAUCAAGAACGUGGACCACAAGCGAAUAUGGUGAAGGGGGAGCUGAACUAAAACAAAGAUCCAAGACCUGUGCUCUUUUUACGUGACUAUUCCCAGAGAAACAUGAAAAAGAAAAAAA